ACCAGACGUCGAGCGGCGGACGGGUGAGUAAUGCUUAGGAAUCUACCGAGUAGUGGGGGAUAGCCAUUGGAAACGAUGAUUAAUACCGCAUAUAUCCUACGGGGGAAAGCAGGGGACCUUCGGGCCUUGCGCUAUUCGAUGAGCCUGAGUGAGAUUAGCUAGUUGGUGGGGUAAAGGCCUACCAAGGCGACGAUCUCUAGCUGGUCUGAGAGGAUGAUCAGCCACACUGGGACUGAGACACGGCCCAGACUCCUACGGGAGGCAGCAGUGGGGAAUAUUGCACAAUGGACGAAAGUCUGAUGCAGCCAUGCCGCGUGUGUGAAGAAGGCCUUCGGGUUGUAAAGCACUUUCAGCGAGGAGGAAAGGUCAGUAAGUAAUAUUUGCUGGCUGUGACGUUACUCGCAGAAGAAGCACCGGCUAAUUUAGUGCCAGCAGCCGCGGUAAUACUAAAGGUGCAAGCGUUAAUCGGAAUUACUGGGCGUAAAGCGCGCGUAGGUGGUUUGUUAAGUUGGGAUGUGAAAGCCCAGGGCUCAACCUUGGAACUGCAUUCAAAACUGACUCACUAGAGUACGAGAGAGGUUAGUGGAAUUUCCUGUGUAGCGGUGAAAUGCGUAGAGAUGGGAAGGACACCAGUGG
rnacentral:rRNA from 1 species